AGUGUAGUAGUGAUGGAACUGACUUUCAAGAAGGUGUUGUUGUGGAAUGUGAAGAUGACAAAUUUCAGUUGGCAAGUUUUGAAGCUGUGUUCAAUGAUAUUGAUGAUUCGAAGUUUGAUAACUUUUUCUCAUCUCUACUUGAAAUGGAAGACCUUAAGAAGAAGUUCAAAGAUGAUUGGGAUAAAAAAAACUGAACCGCAAGGCAAAGCAAGG